rnacentral:rRNA from 1 species
AAUAUUGGACAAUGGGCGCAAGCCUGAUCCAGCAAUGCCGCGUGGGUGAAGAAGGUUUUCGGAUUGUAAAGCCCUUUCGGCGGGGACGAUGAUGACGGUACCCGCAGAAGAAGCCCCGGCUAACUUCGUGCCAGCAGCCGCGGUAAUACGAAGGGGGCUAGCGUUGCUCGGAAUGACUGGGCGUAAAGGGCGCGUAGGCGGCCUGGACAGUCGGGUGUGAAAUUCCUGGGCUCAACCUGGGGGCUGCAUUCGAGACGUUUGGGCUGGAGUGGGGAAGAGGGUCGUGGAAUUCCCAGUGUAGAGGUGAAAUUCGUAGAUAUUGGGAAGAACACCGGUGGCGAAGGCGGCGACCUGGUCCUUGACUGACGCUGAGGCGCGAAAGCGUGGGGAGCAA